CCUACGGGUGGCAGCAGUGAGGAAUAUUGGUCAAUGGCCGGAAGGCUGAACCAGCCAUGCCGCGUGAAGGUCAGUGCCCUAUGGGCUGUAAACUUCUUUUGUGCGGGAGCAAUAAUGGUCACGUGUGGCCAGACGAGAGUACCGUACGAAUAAGCAUCAGCUAACUCCGUGCCAGCAGCCGCGGGAAUACUGGGGAUGCAAGCGGUAUCCCGAUUUAUUGGUUUGAAAGGGUGCGUAGGCUGUGAGGUAAGUCAGCGGUGAAAUGCCCCCGCUCAACGGGGUGAAGUGCCAUUGAUACUGGCUUGCUGGAAUGCGGAUGCGGUGGGAGGAAUGUGUGGUGUAGCGGUGAAAUGCAUAGAUAUCA
rnacentral:rRNA from 1 species